GCCCUCAGAAACAAGCAUUUGACCUGCUGAUUCUCUGUGACUGGAGAAGAUAAAUAAUACAGAUAAGAAGCCUUAGUUAACCAAUGAUCAGAACCAAUGAUCACAAUGCUGGAAGUCAUUUAAGAUCUUCUGAUGAAUACAAAACUGGUGUCUCAAAGAGGGACUGAGAGUCCACAACACCUCAGAGCUAAGUUGAACAGCACUUAAUUAAUGUUUAAUGGUUUCAGUAUUUGAAAUUAAGCAUUCUAUGAAGUUUUAAAUAUUGAUCUGGUUGACUUUUCACUGGGAAAAGAAGUUUUUUAAAAUGGUACUUUUAAAUGUUACAGUAUUUCAGACGUGAUAAGUCUGUGAAUAGAGUUCUGCAGAGAGACAUGUCAGAUUAAACAAAUGCAACUGAACUUCAUCGCCAAAUAAAGAUCUUCUUCAAACUUUGGCACAGAAAGAUUUUAUAAUAGUGAGUGUAUAUGUACUGAGAAUGGGUCUUACUCCUCUGUAUAGCAAGUCAGAUCAAGAGCUGGCUCAUGGUUUUUUUAACAGCAAGUCAGGGAAAUGCAGUGUUCAGAGAACUGGCAGAAAGGGUUUGGAGUGCUAAAAGAAAGCAUAAGGGGAAGGCUGGCAAAUGUCAGUGAUGUUCUGGAGUCUGGGAAAGCUGGUCAGGCUGUGAGAUUUAGGAAGUUUUGGGGUGUUAAUGUGUAGGGGAAUGGGCAGAAGAGAAUAUUAUGUGAAGAUAAGUGGGAUGUCAGAAGAGAGACUUGAGAAAGGCCAUCGAGAAGCAGGGGGAAGAAACCCUCUCUCUCCCCCUAACCCUAUUUUCAGUUGUUCCCUUGCUCUUGUGACCCUUUUCUUCUUUGUCAGGUCCCCAUUAUACAAUAUUCGUCAGCACCACCAGAACAGCAGAGGAAACAGAGGUCUGUGCAAGCAGGAGGAUAGAACAAGCUCUGGAAGAACUGGAUCAGAAUAGAAUCACAAGUCUCCCAAUGAAGAGAUUACAGUUUGGACAGAUGUGACUAUUUGAACCCUGCAGCCUUAAUGGAAGCUGAGAUCUCUUGUCACAGAAGAUAAAGAUUUUAGAAUAACCAAUACUAAAAAUGACAAUGAAAUCAGGACAGCUGGCAAAACUCAGAGUUGUAAGCAACUGAACAAAAUGUAGCCUACAAAAUUAGUGGUUGAAGAAGAUGUAUGAGCUGGAAGAAACACAGGCUCGACUUACAGAUGCUAUUACAAGCCUACAGUGCUCACAGUUAAACCCAUUUCUGUUUAAUUGCAUAAGGAGAAAACACAAGGAAAAAGUGUGAUUGGCCAUAAACCAGUCCUCAUAUGCUGAGGCAUUGACAAUGUAUCAAACACUGGAAUAGAUUCUGAAAUUAUUCUGUGGUAAGUCACAAUACUUAUUGCUCCUAUUCUUGUGCAUAAGCUGU